CAACGAUAUCACGUUGAAACACCGGUUCCCGUACGAUCACAGAAAUUAAGCAACGUCGAGCCUGAUCAGUACCUAGAUGGGUGACUGCUUCAGAAUGCCAGCUGUUGUAAG
rnacentral:rRNA from 1 species